GGUCUUGCACUUUCUGUCGCUCACUAUCACUCAGUCUUCUGCUGACCAAUAGUUCUGGUUAGCUCCCAAACCUCAUGAACUCCGCUUGAAAUUUGACCUCAUUUCUCGAGAAAAAGAAAAACCCUCAGUCACAUUUCACGGGAAACGCAAAGGCCUGAGAAAGAGAGGGAAAGAGUUAGCGUGGUUGUGGAAUGGGAUCGGGCGCCGCAAUCCCCCAAUGGACCUCAGAGCCUUGCAUCAUGGGCAUCGAUGAAGCUGGCCGAGGCCCUGUUUUAGGUCCAAUGGUGUACGGAUGCUUGUACUGUGCUCGCUCGUAUGAGAAGACUCUCUCCUCUUUGAAUUUUGCAGAUUCGAAGACACUGAAAGAAGAGAAGAGGGAGGAAUUAUUUGAGAAUUUGAAGGCUGACGAAUCCAUUGGGUGGGCUGUUGAUAUCAUAGAUCCAAGGGAACUUUCGGCCAAAAUGCUGAAGAAAAAUAAGAUAAACCUGAAUGAAAUCUCACAUGACUCUGCCAUUGGCCUUAUCAUUAAAGUCCUAAACAUGGGAGUUCUUCUAACUGAGGUUUAUGUGGAUACGGUGGGAGAUGCUGAGAAGUAUAGGACUAAACUGUCUGAAAGAUUCCCUGCUGUCAAGUUUGUCGUUGCAAAGAAGGCUGAUAGUAUUUAUCCAGUUGUCAGUGGGGCAAGCAUAGUUGCAAAAGUCACAAGAGACAGAGCUUUGCGGGACUGGGUGCUUGAGGAAACAGCUGAAGACUUGCACAAAAACUUUGGUUCUGGAUAUCCUGGAGAUCCAAAUACUAAGGCCUGGUUGCAACAUCACAAACACUUGGUUUUUGGAUUCCCAACAUUGGUCCGUUUCAGCUGGGGUACAUGCACUCCCUAUUUCAAGGACAUUGUUGAAGUCUUAUGGGAAUCCAAUGAAACGGAUGGAGAUGGUUCUAGUAGUGCUAAUGGCAAGCGGCAAUUGAAAUUAAGUAAUUUUGGUGUCACAAAAUCCAAGAGAAAGAUUGAAGAAAUUGAAUCAAGUGGUAAAGGACGCUGCAAAUUUUUUAUGGCUCGUAAACUUGAGCAAGUCACUCAAUUCUAAGUAGAAGGUUUGACACGUUAUGAUUUGUAUUUUUUGCUUCUCUCCAAUUAUUUGCCUUUCUUGAUUCAAAUCAGAGAAUCAUUGGAGUUUUGCUUCACCGUUCUCAUUAUUGAGAAAGGCAAAUGAAAGAACUUAAACAACCUAUUGUAGUGUUCUUUUUUUUAAAAUUUAAUUUUUGACCGAGGGAGAGUAAUAUGAUGAUGAAAAAUUUCUUCCGUAUCUGUGCAAUCCAUCGUAUGUCCAUUUUGGAGUUAUAAUACUUGCAAUGGUGCAGUUACUAAGGAAUUCUUUUGAUUGCUCUUGUGACAUACUAACUGAAUGAUUAGACAUAAUGAUGCAUGCAGACAUGUUUCGUGAAUCAUGUGAUAAUCCAGGGACAAAGUUCAAGUGUGUACGACUUAUAAACAGCUUGGAGUUAUGAAAUCUGGUAGGUGUAGACCUUUAAAUUUAGAAUACAAACACAAAAUUCGAAACCUGCUGUCUCGUUCUUUAGUCUCAUACAAUCAUAAAUGAAAGAAGCGAACUCAUGUAAUACUGCAAAUCUUCUUGUGUGCUUUAGAUAUCAUUGAUGCACAAGAUGCACAAACCCAAAUUUGUUUAGGCAAUAAUUCAUAAUACAUGGUUUCCUAACAUUUGUUGGAAAAUGUUAGUCUCACAAGGAGCCAACUGCAAAACCGACACACUCAAACUUACAGUUUAUGUACAAUGAUAGCAAGCAACCAGUCUUUUCAUGCUUCGGCUUUGUCUAGUAUCAGAAUAUCAUAUACAGAUGUACAAGAGACGCCCAGCUGGAUGCGAACAAGGUACGAAAGUUGAACCUUGUGUAUUUGGAGAUCUGGUCCCGCCGUUAUUUCCAUUCUCACCAAUACUAGUUGAUCUGCCGUUUGCACUUCCAUGACUGUAUCCAUGUUCAAGUUUGCCGCUAUGUGCUAUUCUAUCAUCAUCACUACCAUUGCUUCCAUGUCCAUUUGCACCUUCAUCUUCUGUGGUGGUUUCCUGCAUAAAUUCUGCAACGUAUUCUUUUAGAAGUUAACCAGUACCGAAACUUUUUAACAAGGUCACAGAUUUCUUUUUGCCAUUAGGAAAUCAGAAAACUUCUGUAUAUAAAUUUUUAUUUUUUGUACUUUUUUUUAUCUGGCAUUGGGGGUGGUUGAAUUAUUGUCAAAUAGAGCGACUUUCUUUUUGGUCUAAAAACUUGUAGAGGAAGAAGAGUUCGAAAAGAUUGUAAUGGUAAUAGACUCGAUUGUCAAUUAUGUUUCAAAUCGAAUGCUCAAAUUGUGUUUCA